rnacentral:rRNA from 1 species
UACGAAGGGGGCUAGCGUUGCUCGGAAUUACUGGGCGUAAAGGGAGCGUAGGCGGACAUUUAAGUCAGGGGUGAAAUCCCAGAGCUCAACUCUGGAACUGCCUUUGAUACUGGGUGUCUUGAGUGUGAUAGAGGUAUGUGGAACUCCGAGUGUAGAGGUGAAAUUCGUAGAUAUUCGGAAGAACACCAGUGGCGAAGGCGACAUACUGGAUCAUUACUGACGCUGAGGCUCGAAAGCGUGGGGAGCAAACACG